UGGGGAAUAUUGGACAAUGGGCGAAAGCCUGAUCCAGCCAUGCCGCGUGUGUGAAGAAGGUCUUCGGAUUGUAAAGCACUUUAAGUUGGGAGGAAGGGCAGUAAGCGAAUACCUUGCUGUUUUGACGUUACCGACAGAAUAAGCACCGGCUAACUCUGUGCCAGCAGCCGCGGUAAUACAGAGGGUGCAAGCGUUAAUCGGAAUUACUGGGCGUAAAGCGCGCGUAGGUGGUUCGUUAAGUUGAAUGUGAAAGCCCCGGGCUCAACCUGGGAACUGCAUCCAAAACUGGCGAGCUAGAGUAGGGCAGAGGGUGGCGGAAUUUCCUGUGUAGCGGUGAAAUGCGUAGAUAUAGGAAGGAACACCAGUGGCGAAGGCGACCACCUGGGCUCAUACUGACACUGAGGUGCGAAAGCGUGGGGAGCAAACAGG
rnacentral:rRNA from 1 species